AUUGAACGCUGGCGGCAGGCCUAACACAUGCACGUCGAGCGGAGCGGCGGACGUGUGAGUAAUGCCUAGGAAUCUGCCUGGUAGUGGGGGAUAACGUCCGGAAACGGGCGCUAAUACCACAUACUAUCAGAUGAGCCUAGGUCGGCUUAGCUAUUGGGGGGGGUAAAGGCCUAGCAAGGCGACGAUCCGUAACUGGGCUGAGAGGAAGACCAGUCAAACUGGAACUGAGACACGGUCCCGAAUCCUACGGGAGGCAGCCGUGGGGAAUAUGGGACAAUGGGCGAAAGCCUGAUCCAGCCAUGCCGCGUGUGUGAAGAAGGUCUUCGGAUUGUAAAGCACUUUAAGUUGGGAGGCGUUACCAACAGAAUAAGCACCGGCUAACUUCGUGCCAGUCGCCGCGGUAAGAC
rnacentral:rRNA from 1 species